UGGGGAAUUUUCCGCAAUGGGGGCAACCCUGACGGAGCAACGCCGCGUGCGGGAGGACGGUUUGUGGACUGUAAACCGCUUUUAAUAGGGAAGAAUAACUGACGGUACCUAUUGAAUCAGCAUCGGCUAACUCCGUGCCAGCAGCCGCGGUAAUACGGAGGAUGCAAGCGUUAUCCGGAAUUAUUGGGCGUAAAGGGUCCGCAGGUGGUUAAUCAAGUCAGCUGUUAAAGAUUCGAGCUUAACUCGGGAGUGGCGGUUGAAACUGAAUGACUAGAGUACGGUAGGGGUAGAGGGAAUUCCUAGUGUAGCGGUGAAAUGCGUAGAUAUUAGGAAGAACACCAGUGGCGAAGGCGCUCUACUGGACCUGUACUGACACUGAGGGACGAAAGCUAGGGGAGCGAAAGGGAUUAGAUACCCCCGUAGUCC
rnacentral:rRNA from 1 species